GUGCUCGCUUCGGCAGCACAUGUACUAAAAUUGGAACAAUACAGAGAAGAUCAGCAUUGCCUCUGCGCAAGGAUGACAUGCAAAUUCGUAAAACGUUCCAUAUUUUU
ensembl:snRNA U6 U6 spliceosomal RNA